rnacentral:rRNA from 1 species
GAAGGAUCAUUACCGAGUGUAGGGUUCCUAGCGAGCCCAACCUCCCACCCGUGUUUACUGUACCUUAGUUGCUUCGGCGGGCCCGCCAUUCAUGGCCGCCGGGGGCUCUCAGCCCCGGGCCCGCGCCCGCCGGAGACACCACGAACUCUGUCUGAUCUAGUGAAGUCUGAGUUGAUUGUAUCGCAAUCAGUUAAAACUUUCAACAAUGGAUCUCUUGGUUCCGGCAUCGAUGAAGAACGCAGCGAAAUGCGAUAACUAGUGUGAAUUGCAGAAUUCCGUGAAUCAUCGAGUCUUUGAACGCACAUUGCGCCCCCUGGUAUUCCGGGGGGCAUGCCUGUCCGAGCGUCAUUGCUGCCCAUCAAGCACGGCUUGUGUGUUGGGUCGUCGUCCCCUCUCCGGGGGGGACGGGCCCCAAAGGCAGCGGCGGCACCGCGUCCGAUCCUCGAGCGUAUGGGGCUUUGUCACCCGCUCUGUAGGCCCGGCCGGCGCUUGCCGAACGCAAAUCAAUCUUUUUCCAGGUUGACCUCGGAUCAGGUAGGGAUAUCCGCUGAACUUAA